CAGGCAUUCCCUGCAGUCCAGGAGGACCCUGAGCUCCAGGAGCACCGGGGGUUCCAGCGUCUCCCUGAAGAAAAGAAAGAAGAAAUUCUCAAAGUCCGGGGGAUCCACGGGCUCCAGCAGGUCCAACGGGGCCAGGUGCACCACGCUCACCAGAGAAUCCUCUAUCACCCUGAGAGAAAGACAGAAUGUGAGGAAUGAAAACAUCUAUAAAUCCACCUGUGGUCCGGGAGGUCCACGCUCACCAGCACGACCAGGUUUUCCAGCCUCACCCUGACAGCAGGAGAGAGGUGAAGAGAAACUGUGAGGACCAGCUGGUCCACGUGGACCCAUGGGGCCCUAAAGAAAAAAAGAAAGAAACAGCUAAAAUCAGACUGGCAACAAACAAGCCAACUGAAAAACAGAUUCAGUGAUGAAACAGUAAAGCUCAACAACAUGGAGCAUCCUCCUGAGCGACCACUGAACCAAUCACAGAUGGAUAAGCAGAGGUCAUGUGACGUCAGCGUACAGGAAGUGGUUGUGGACACCGGCUGAAUAGUAUCCUCACAAGACUUGCAACAACAUGUUGUGAUCGACUGAAGGGCAGAUGGGAUUUUACCGUCGUCGGGGCAGAUGGCGCAGCACU